rnacentral:rRNA from 1 species
CCCUUAGAUGUCCUGGGCCGCACGCGCGUUACACUGAUGCAUUCAACGAGCUUAUAACCUUGGCCGAGAGGCCUGGGCAAUCUUGUUAACGUGCAUCGUGAUAGGGAUAGAUUAUUGAAAUUAUUAAUCUUGAACGAGGAAUUCCUAGUAAACGCAGAUCAUCAAUCUGCAUUGAUUACGUCCCUGCCCUUUGUACACACCGCCCGUCGCACCUACCGAUUGGAUGGUCCGGUGAAGCCUCGGGAUUGUGGUUCUUGCCGCUUUAUUGUGGCGUGACCGCGAGAACUUGUCUCAACCUUAUCAUCUAGAGGAAGGUGAAGUCGUAACA